UCAUGGCUCAGGAUGAACGCUGGCGGCGUGCCUAACACAUGCAAGUCGAGCGAACCCUUCAGGGUGAGCGGCGGACGGGUGAGUAACGCGUGGGUAACCUGCCCUGUACACACGGAUAACAUACCGAAAGGUAUGCUAAUACGAGAUAACAUAUUUUAAUCGCAUGGUUAAGAUAUCAAAGCUCCGGCGGUACAGGAUGGACCCGCGUCUGAUUAGCUAGUUGGUGAGGUAAUGGCUCACCAAGGCGACGAUCAGUAGCCGACCUGAGAGGGUGAUCGGCCACACUGGAACUGAGACACGGUCCAGACUCCUACGGGAGGCAGCAGUGGGGAAUAUUGCACAAUGGGCGAAAGCCUGAUGCAGCAACGCCGCGUGAGCGAUGAAGGCCUUCGGGUCGUAAAGCUCUGUCCUCAAGGAAGAUAAUGACGGUACUUGAGGAGGAAGCCCCGGCUAACUACGUGCCAGCAGCCGCGGUAAUACGUAGGGGGCUAGCGUUAUCCGGAAUUACUGGGCGUAAAGGGUGCGUAGGCGGUCUUUCAAGCCAGAAGUGAAAGGCUACGGCUCAACCGUAGUAAGCUUUUGGAACUGUAAGACUUGAGUGCAGGAGAGGAGAGUGGAAUUCCUAGUGUAGCGGUGAAAUGCGUAGAUAUUAGGAGGAACACCAGUAGCGAAGGCGGCUCUCUGGACUGUAACUGACGCUGAGGCACGAAAGCGUGGGGAGCAAACAGGAUUAGAUACCCUGGUAGUCCACGCCGUAAACGAUGAGUACUAGGUGUCGGGGGUUACCCCCCUCGGUGCCGCAGCUAACGCAUUAAGUACUCCGCCUGGGAAGUACGCUCGCAAGAGUGAAACUCAAAGGAAUUGACGGGGACC
rnacentral:rRNA from 1 species